UACGGAAUGUGCAAACGUUAUUCGGAAUCACUGGGCUUAAAGAGUCCGUAGGCGGCUUGUUAGGUGAGGUGUGAAAUCCCUCGGCCCAACCGAGGAAGUGCAUCCGAAACUGGCAAGCUUGAGUACGAAAGAGGGUCGCGGAAUUCCCGGUGUAGAGGUGAAAUUCGUAGAUAUCGGGAGGAACACCGGUGGCGAAGGCGGCGACCUGGGUCGAUACUGACGCUGAGGUGCGAAAGCGUGGGGAGCAAACAGGG
rnacentral:rRNA from 1 species